UAAAAAAUCUGAUGCGGUUUGGUAGACCGCAUCAGAUUUUUCAUUCAUUUCUCGCUGCUUGCCCCCUUAUAACGGCCUAGCCCCAAAAAAAACAGCCCAAAAGGAAAGGGUCAUUUCUGUCGCCCAAUAUGACAAACCCUUCAUUCCUCAUCAAACGGCUCUCCUUAGUCUCCUCCCAAACGCCUCUCCUCCCAAAAGGAACCUAAAAUCUUGGAAAGUUUAGCGAUGGCGGGACUUCAGUACUUGGAAACGCAGAGAAACUCGCAUCUAGAGCUCUUAGAUGGUACAAUACUCUCGAGCUUGAGAAGUUCGUCGCCCUCAGAAUGGCAUUUCAGGUUGAGCUUCUAAUACCUCAGUUGCAAUUUUUGGACGACGAAGGUGUGGAAGCUGAACUAUGGGAACUAUCAAGGAUUUUCUUAGAUACUCUUAUGGAGGAAACAGGAUGUCAGGUUAGUAAUUAGUUAAAAGUCUUUAUUCUAUAGUCAUUGUCCAAAAGAAAAAGGAUAUAUACCUAAUUGACAUCCUUACCCUUUGGCCAGUGAACCAUGGUAGAGGACCAGAUGUAGUAAGUUUCAAAAUGUCUAUACAAAUUUUUUGUUCACCGAAGAAUGGUUAGGUCUUAGUUCUUUCAAGAUCUAAGCAAAUUGUAGAUAGAAUUAUGGGUUUCGAUGAUAUGGUGCAGAUCUAUAUAGACGGAUCAGAAAACAUUAAAGAAAUAUAUUGAUCAAAGCCUAUUAAAAGCAUAAAUUACAUGGUUCUUCAUGGCACUUAAACUCCACAUCCUCUAUAUAACUAAGUUUUAUACUUUUGUUAAAAGAAAGUAAAAGCAAUACUUCUAGACACCGCGGCUGCUGCACUUUUGAAGUACCAGUGGAAAGAUGCUUCUUUUGGAUUCUAGGUACAGAUAGUUUUCCAUAUACACUAAUUGUUGUUUGCGUGCUUAAAUUGCUUUCUGAUUCUUAUAUUCUGUUUUUUUGUAUAGUACUGAUGUUCUUUUCAUGUUCACACUUCUUUAAAACUUAAGUGAUAGGAAGCCUGUAGAGUAUGAAUAUGAGCUUGUUGUAAUGGUGGUUCCUGACUGUCAGAUGCUGCAAUAUGUUAAGAAAAUUGCUACUCUUCCCUCAGAUGAUCCGAUAUCUACAUUAGCUUAAACAUAAUUUGCAAUGCUUGGGUCUUGAUGUCAUGUAUUUUUUUUAUUGUAACUAUCAUACGAUAAUAUGUAUGACUUAGAAAUGAUUUCACUCUUACUAUUUUAGGAUGUCUGCAAAAAAUUCACAUUUCUAAAACAGCAAUAUAUUAUAAGUACUUACUACCUCCGUUUCCUAAAAAUCUUCCUUGUUACUAUUACUACACAUACCAAUGAGAACUAAUUUGUGUGGGGUAUGGGGUGGGUAAAGUAGGAGAGAGAAAGGGGUUAAGAUAAAUAAACAAAUAAAAAGAGGUUAAAGUAGGAGAGAGAAAGGGAGUAAAAUUGAAUUAAUAAUGUAAUGGUAGUCUGGUAGACCAUAUGAUAGGGACAUGAGAGGGUAAAAAUUGGGAAAAAAUUCCAAAUAAGGAAUAAAGUAAAAGAGGAAAGAUCUUUUGGAAACACACUUAAACGAAAAGAGGGAAGAUCUUUAGGAAACGGAGGUAGUAUAUUUUUAAGAAAAUCAUUAUUAUGAUUCCCUUCUUUUUGUUAUCUAAGGCAUAAAUUGGGACUUUGAUGGAACACAUGAGUCAGCUUAUCACAGUUGCUGAAUGCACUAAGUGUUGGACUAGUCUCAAGGAGUGCAGUCUAGAUUCUCUUUCAUGAUAUGAUGAAGGGAAUUGGGACGGUGCAUGUGUUUUGGUUUGGCGUCAGGGUUCGGAGAGAUGGAGUGAGAUUUAUUACUUGAUUUUUUUUCUGACAGUUUUUUAUAAAAUUGGUGAUUUGAUUUUGUUAGGGUUGAAUUUUGAUUUAGGUCAUGAAAUAUUAGAUCUUUAAUGUUGUUCAUCAUUAGUUCUAAGCUAUUUCAAUGUUAAAUGUAGGUCCAAUUGAGUAGCACUUUAUCAGUUUCAGUUAUUACAUUUUAAAAGAUAAAUAGUUUAUUUAGUUGUAGCAAUUUAUCAGUUUAAAACUUUCAGUUAUCACAUUUUCAGUUUUGGUGGCUUUGAUUUUCAGAAUUUGGUGAUUUUUUGCCACUAAUAUUGAUAUGUAGAACACAAAGCAUAUUCUCUAGCCAUUAAGAUCUAGUUUUCGUUAGAAUGGUGUUUAUUUCCGGGCUUCUCUUAGAUGUUCUUAGGUUUAUCGUAAUUAUCUUUCCUAGGAUUUAGAAUUCAAAUGCAAAAUUCAAUAAAGGGUUUCUCAAGGUCUAGGCCUAAUGGCCUUUUCAUCAACUCAUGCUUUGCUGACUGCCAAACUGAGAGGCAGGGCACAUGAUUUGGUGAUGAUUCCCCUGUUCUUCAGAAUAAGGUAUUUCAAUCUUUCGGUUUCUUAAUAUUUCGCGCAAGUGAAUUAUUAAUUGUCACCACUAUAUUUCAUGCUUUCAUACUAUUGCAAACUUGAGCUUAAUAUGUGAAUAUUGGAUAAAAUCUCUUGGUUGUUCCUUAGUUUAUCCUCUUUAAUUUACAGUCAUAAUAAUUUCAACUUGUAUUAUUUUUUGGAGUACAAUCAUAUAAUGUGUUAAGAGAGGGAAUAACAAGCUAUGGAGGUGGGGGCUGAGUGUAAGGAAUGCUUCCAUGUGCUGUAUUUAGGAUGUGAUUAGAUGUGGGAUUGUUGUUUCAUUAUUUUGAUAAUGACAAAUAAUUAAAUUUUAUUUUAUUUUAGUUUAUUUUAUUCGUCUGUUUCUAGUUUAUUUUGUUAGAUUUAAUUUCGUGUGUUUUAGAUUUAUUCUUUCUGUUUUGAUUAGUUUAUUUUGUUAGAUUUAUUCUUUCAGUUUUAAUUAGCUUAUUUAUUUAAGACUUCACAAAUAAUUUGUUAAAUAACUUAUGAAGAAUUGAUUAGGAGUUUAGUCAAGAUUAAGUUGUUAAACUUUAUUUGUAACAAACCGUUAAUAUUAUGGAGGUAAAAAAUUUGAUAUAUUAUGAUUCCAUAAUAUUCUGUUUAGUUAGUUUGUGUGCAGUCUUUUGAUUUUUCUAUAAACAAGGAGUCGCCAAAAUCUAACCUAAACAAGCGCUCAAAAACAGAUGCGUUGAGCUAGUUCCUACAAUUUAGGAACCGCAACAACCAACCUAUUAACAAGGCGUGUGAACGUGGAGUUGCGCGUGUGUUAGUGGCUGAGAUUGUGGAAGCCUAACUAACCAACUGCCAACGGUAAAAAACUCAACGGACAUAUUAAUGGGAGAAGUGGCUGAAGCUGCGUAUGAUCAUGGAGAAGAUAGUGGAGAAGAUCGUGGAGAAAAACAUGGGAAGAUUGGUUUCUACAAAUAGUAGUUUGUAACGAUCUUUUUAUGUAUGCUUUCAUAAUUUUCUAUGUAAUAUUUUUAGUGAAAGUAUAUUCGGUUUUCUUCUUCUUAACAAUUAAUGUAUUAUAGAUUGGGUUGAGAAAAUCUAAGUCUGUAAUCGUUUUGAGAGAAAAAGAGAGAGAAAGAGAAGAGAGAAAGAGAAAAGACUUCGAGUGAAGUCAAGAGAGAAAGUCAACUGUUCAGGGGGAACAAGCUGACUGGGAACCAGUUCCUAGUGAAACAGAGUUGGUCCGAGUUUAGGUUGUACGAAAGAGAGUAUUUUGGCCUAAUGUUAUUAAAGAGAAUUGAGUCAAAAUCCCUCGUGGUCAAGGUUUUUCUUCAUAUUAGGCCUAGGAAGUUUUCCUUGUAAAAAUUUUAUGUUCCUAGUUCUUUCUUAUUCAUGCAAUUAUUUAUUUCUUAUUCA